rnacentral:rRNA from 1 species
UUAGCAUGGAAUAAUAGAAUAGGACGAGUGAUUCUAUUUUGUUGGUUUAUAGAACCACCGUAAUGAUUAAUAGGAACAGUUGGGGGCAUUAGUAUUCAGUUGCUAGAGGUGAAAUUCUUGGAUUUACUGAAGACUAACUACUGCGAAAGCAUUUGCCAAGGAUGUUUUCAUUAAUAAAGGACGAUGGUUGGGGGAUCGAAAAUGAUUAGAUACCGUUGUAGUCCCAACAGUAAACUAUGCCGACUGAGGAUUGGAUGACGUUAUAUUAUUGACUCAUUCAGCACUCUGCGAGAAAUCAAAGUUUUUGGGCUUAGGGGGGAGUAUGGUCGCAAGGCUGAAACUUAAAGGAAUUGACGGAAGAGCACCACAAAGAGUGGAGCCUGCGGCUUAAUUUGACUCAACACGGGGAAACUCACCAGGUCCAGACAUAGUAAGGAUUGACAGAUUGAUAGCUCUUUCUUGAUUCUAUGGGUGGUGGUGCAUGGCCGUUCUUAGUUGGUGGAGUGAUUUGUCUGGUUAAUUCCGAUAACGAACGAGACCUUAACCUGCUAAAUAGCCGGUACGACAUUUUGUUGUACAUUGGCUUCUUAGAGGGACUAUUGAUGUUUAAUCAAUGGAAGUUUGAGGCAAUAACAGGUCUGUGAUGCCCUUACAUGUUCUGGGCCGCACGCGCGCUGCACUGACAGAGGCAGCGAGUAUUAUAUUCCUUAUUCGAAAGAAUUGGGUAAUCUUGCUAAACUCUGUCGUGCUGGGGAUAGAGCAUUGCAAU